AUUGAACGCUGGCGGCAUGCCUUACACAUGCAAGUCGAACGGCAGCGGACCUUCGGGUGCCGGCGAGUGGCGAACGGGUGAGUAAUAUAUCGGAACGUACCUUUCAGUAGGGGGAGUAACGUAGCGAAAGUUACGCUAAUACCGCAUAUUCUGUGAGCAGGAAAGCAGGGGAUCGCAAGACCUUGCGCUGAUUGAGCGGCCGAUAUCAGAUUAGCUAGUUGGUGAGGUAAAGGCUCACCAAGGCGACGAUCUGUAGCGGGUCUGAGAGGAUGAUCCGCCACACUGGAACUGAGACACGGUCCAGACUCCUACGGGAGGCAGCAGUGGGGAAUUUUGGACAAUGGGCGGCAAGCCUGAUCCAGCCACUGCCGCGUGAGUGAAGAAGG
rnacentral:rRNA from 1 species